AAAAAAUAAGGGCAUACCUAGGGAAAUCUAGGGUCGCAAAACUAUAGGGGCUAAGGUUUAUUAGAAAUAAACUAUGCCAGCCAGCUGCCGAA
rfam:Paeniclostridium sordellii ATCC 9714 gcs9714.contig.95, whole genome shotgun sequence.